UGCUGUGUCAAAAACUUUUCUGGCAUCCUCCGUGUUGCCAAGCAACCACUCCAGAUGUGCAUACUGCUUCCACAGGCAAAAGUUGUUGCAGUUUUCUGGCUCCUUAAGGAGAUUCUUGGCUAGUUUUUUGCAGUUCUUCCCUUGAGACUUUAAUCUCUUCUUGUUUUUAGUGUGCAGGCACCAAAUGACCUACAGGGAAAAAGAGAAGAAUGACUGCAGGUGCUCUGUAAUUAAGGCGUCCUCUGCUGCCAACUGUAGAAAGCACUGACAGGAAAAAAGGCGUCUACGCUUCCUCCCUUUAUCACGGGUCUGGUAAACACUGAGGCUCUCUGAGCUGGAAAAGAAAUAAGGAUUUUUACCAGGGCCACAACUGCCCCCAAAUUUAUAAUCCAGGGUUCCAGCUGAAAUCUCUAUAAACAAAGCUGAUACC
rnacentral:lncRNA from 1 species